rnacentral:tRNA from 1 species
CGCGGGGUGGGUAGCUCGUCGGGCUCAUAACCCGAAGGUCGUCGGUUCAAAUCCGGCCCCCGCAACCA